GACGAACGCUGGCGGCGUGCUUAACACAUGCAAGUCGAACGGAAAGGCCCUGCUUUUGUGGGGUGCUCGAGUGGCGAACGGGUGAGUAACACGUGAGUAACCUGCCCUUGACUUUGGGAUAACUUCAGGAAACUGGGGCUACUACCGGAUAGGAGCUCCUGCUGCAUGGUGGGGGUUGGAAAGUUUCGGCGGUUGGGGAUGGACUCGCGGCUUAUCAGCUUGUUGGUGGGGUAGUGGCUUACCAAGGCUUUGACGGGUAGCCGGCCUGAGAGGGUGACCGGCCACAUUGGGACUGAGAUACGGCCCAGACUCCUAUGGGAGGCAGCAGUGGGGAAUAUUGCACAAUGGGCGGAAGCCUGAUGCAGCAACGCCGCGUGCGGGAUGACGGCCUUCGGGUUGUAAACCGCUUUCGCCUGUGACGAAGCGUGAGUGACGGUAAUGGGUAAAGAAGCACCGGCUAACUACGUG
rnacentral:rRNA from 1 species